GUCCAGCAGCAGAUAGCUCAGUUGGUAGUAGAGCACGAGACUCUUAAUCCCAGGGUUGUGGGUUCGAGCCUCGUGUUGGGUG